rnacentral:rRNA from 1 species
AUUGAACGCUGGCGGCAUGCUUUACACAUGCAAGUCGAACGGUAACAGGCCUUCGGGUGCUGACGAGUGGCGAACGGGUGAGUAAUGCAUCGGAACGUGCCCAGAGGUGGGGGAUAACGCAGCGAAAGCUGUGCUAAUACCGCAUGUGAUCUGAGGAUGAAAGCGGGGGACCAGGCAGCAAUGUUUGGCCUCGCGCCUUUGGAGCGGCCGAUGUCAGAUUAGGUAGUUGGUGGGGUAAAGGCCUACCAAGCCGACGAUCUGUAGCUGGUCUGAGAGGACGACCAGCCACACUGGGACUGAGACACGGCCCAGACACCUACGGGAGGCAGAAGUGGGGAAUUUUAGACAAUGGGCGCAAGCCUGAUCCAGCAAUGCCGCGUGCGGGAAGAAGGCCUUCGGGUUGUAAACCGCUUUUGUACGGAAAGAAAAGGCUCUGGCUAAUACCUGGGGCUGAUGACGGUACCGUAAGAAUAAGCACCGGCUAACUACGUG